rnacentral:rRNA from 1 species
UACGUAGGGACCGAGCGUUGUCCGGAAUCAUUGGGCGUAAAGAGCUCGUAGGCGGUUUGUCGCGUCUGCUGUGAAAACUCGGGGCUUAACCCCGGGCCUGCAGUGGGUACGGGCAGACUAGAGUGCGGUAGGGGAGACUGGAAUUCCUGGUGUAGCGGUGAAAUGCGCAGAUAUCAGGAGGAACACCGGUGGCGAAGGCGGGUCUCUGGGCCGUAACUGACGCUGAGGAGCGAAAGCGUGGGGAGCGAACAGG